AUUACUGAUACUUGGACGUAAUGCAAUAUUUAUAUUAAAUUUAUAUCGCUCGUGCCGAAAAACCCAGUUCAGAUAAAUGAACUAGACAAAACCAAAACAUUGAUAAAUCUUCACCUCAGGUUCCCGGAUCCGUUUUUUUUUCGUUCGUCGUAUAAAAUACAAGUUCACUUUCUGUUUAUAAAUAUGCAGCCCAAAUAAAUAAUUAUAAAUAAAUUGCAACAAAUGAUACUUACAAAAAAUAAUUAACACAUUAAGAACGAACGUCAAUUCAAUAAUAGUCUGUUCCCAUUUGACAAUGACCAUGACCGCUGAACCCGUUGACGCUGAUAGUAGCUAUAAAUACAAUUUAUAAAGGGAACGCGUGGUCAGAUCGAGCAUACAAUCAAGUGAACUUCAGUUUGCUAGUGAGUGUUGUACUGUGAAGUGAAAGAUGUUCACCAAUCCGUUUUGCCGCACGCACAGCACCAUCCGUCAUGCCAUCGACAAGUUUUUACAUAUCGAUCAGAAAAGAAACUCCAAAGGGCACAGACUGACCAGGAACUCUUCAGAUUCAUCAGUGCUCUCGUUCAAAAGCCACUGUUCAACGUGCCUAUCUCAUCAGUCCUUCAGCAGUGACCGAAAAUUACUACCUAAAUGAUGAUUUUGUGAACAUCAUAUCAUAAACCUCUUCCAUAUUGGAUGAAUGAAUAGCAAUUCCCAGUGCAAGACUGAAAUUUAUCGAUGACAUUAGAUAUUGCCAAUGAAACCCCUCUGUGAUUAUAUAGACAAUUCGUAAGGAUGAUAGACAAAAUGGACUAUAUUAUGUUCGGCUUUACUUUAUGAUUUAUUGUUUUAAAUAAAUCUCAAUAAUUUUA